AUGUCAAUUAUUUCCUGCAUGUCCCAAAUCGAAAUUUGGAUUAGCAGCUUAUUGAAGAUGCUCGAAGGAGGUUCAUGUUCCUUUUGCUACACAUCUUUAUAAUUGGAGAAUGAACAUGUGGCAUAAGGGGAGUGGGGGAAAAUGAUGUAGUAAUUAUAGGAAUUAUGAAACAUUAGCAGUUGGACAUUGGAGGUUCAACUAUAUAAAGAGAUGUGUUUCUUUAAAUUUUAUGAUCUGCACAUCUAAUUUGUUUUAAUGCUUAAAUGUUA
rnacentral:lncRNA from 1 species